UUGAAGGCUUAUGCACACUCACCGUUGCCCCUUGUCCCUCUUUCUGACACAAUUGGACUGGCUCAAGGUGUCUCCUGGGAGACAUUAGUCAGUGAAAAAGCAAAUACCCCAUUUUGAAUCCAUGUUUUCAAUUUGGAGGCACAUGGUUUGAAUUAGGUUCAUGCUUACUGAGGUGGGUGAGUGGGAGGGUUAGCCUUAGGAGAGAGGUGAGUGAGAGCUUCCUAUACACCCACAGAAAAACACAUUUACACUUUAGGAAUCAGCUUUGUUUCAGAUUCUUAGGGGAUUUUGGAGUCAAUAAGAGGUAAUCAUAUGUAUGAACAAUGUGCUUAAAGUGAAACAGCUAUAAUGUAAUGGUGCAGCUAACCCAUCAAACCAUUGUGUUAAAAGUCUUAUAAACUAAAGAAAAAAUGUUGUGUGAAUCAUAUAAAGAGAGACUAGGACUACGUGUCACUCAGGAAAGUUGUUACAAAGGGCUUUAUCUCAGGAGUCCAAGUACACAAAUGUAUGUUUUGUUUGUUUGUUUUAAACACUUAGUUUAAAACCCCCUUAAAGGGAUAGUUCACCCAAAAAUGAAAAUUCUCUCACAUUUACUCACCCUCAUGCCAUCCCAGAUGUGUAUUACUUUCUUCUGCUGAACACAAACAAAGAUUUUUAGGAGAAUAUCUCUGCUCCGUAGGUACUCAUAAUGCAAGUGAAUGGUGACCAGAAUUUUGAAGUUUAAAAAAGCACGUAAAGGCAGCAUAAAAGUAAUCCAUACGACUCCAGUGGUUAAAUCUACUGUAUAUCUUCUGAAGCAAUAUCAUAGAUGUGGGUGAGAAAUAGUUCAAUAAUUAAGCCCUUAUUAACUAUAAAUUCUCCCUACCCAGUACACUCUUUUAAAAAAAAAAAAAAAAAAAAGGUUCUUUGGGAUUCUAUAUAGAACCCUAGGGCUUUUUACUCAGCUCCAAGGAACCCAAGGUUCUAUUUACAAAGAUUUACAGAAUAAAUUGUCUUUAGGUUGACAAUUGCUUAAAGCAAGUAUAUAUGUUUGUAUGUGUAUGCAUAAAUUACACUAUUGAAAGUUUUGUUUAUAAAUAGCUUUGAACACUACAUUACUUUUGUAUUUGCAUUUCAUACUGCAGAAAAAUACAACUUUUACAAUGUACUUCUACAACUUUGGGUUUGAUUAGAAAAGAAUAAAUGACAGAUGAUCAGAUCCAAUGUCCUUUCUCUUUUAGAUGACAGGUUUAUCUCAAUAUUUAUAUACAGUCUAUGGUAUAGUCUGUUGUAACAAAGUUCGUAGUUUCAGGGCAAAUGGAGGAGUCAGGAGGCAGCGGAACAGUCAACGUGAGUAUUUUUAUUACUCCUAUAGCGUCAGACAAAACUUAAACAAAAAGGGCUGUUUGUGGCCAAAUAAACACACAGGCAAGUCAAAUGAGAGUUCACAUUAAUAUUCGUAGUCACACAGCCGGGUUUGAGGAGCAGAAUGACGUGGCAACGAGGAAGACCACCCCUCCUCCCAACGACCAGGUGCUAUGUCUUACCACAGCUGAUGUGAGGAAAACUCUGCGCAGAGUCAACCCACGGAAGGCUGCUGGACCAGACAACAUUCCUGGCAGAGUGCUCAGAGGAUGUGCAGACCAGCUGGCGAAUGUUCUUACUGACAUUUUCAACAUCUCCCUGAGCAGCACGUCGUUCCAACAUGCUUCAAGGCCACCACCAUCGUCCCCGUGCCGAAGAAGUUUUCAGUGUCCUGCCUCAAUGACUACCGUCCUGUUGCACUCACACCUAUCAUCAUGAAGUGCUUCGAGAGGCUCGUCAAGAGGCAUAUCAAGACCCAGCUGCCCCCUCACUGGACCCCCUGCAGUUUGCGUAUCAUCCCAACCGCUCAACAGAUGAUGCCAUCGCCACCACCCUCCCACCUGGACAAAAAGAAAACAUACAUUCGAAUGCUGUUCAUAGAUUUCAGUUCAGCAUUCAACACAAUCGUUCCUCAGCACCUGAUUGGAAAGCUGAACCUGCUGGACCUGAACACCUCCCUCUGCAACUGGACUUCCUGACUGGGAGACCUCAGUCAUUCCGGAUCGGGAGCAGCAUCUCCACCACCACCAUACUGAGCACUGGGGCCCCCCAGGGCUGUGCUCAAUCCACUGCUGUUCACACUGCUGACUCACGACCGUGCAGCAAUGCACAGCUCGAAUCACAUCAAGUUCGCCGAUGACAAGACCGUGGUGGGUCUCAUCAGCAAGAACGACAAGGCAGCAUAAAGAGAGGAGGUGCAGCGGCUAACGGACUGGUGCAUAGCCAACAACCUGUCUCUGAACGUAGACAAAACAAAAGUGAUGGUUGUUGACUUCAGGGGAACAUGGAGUGACCACUCUCCGCUGAACAUCAACAGCUCCUCUGUGGAGAUUGUCAAGAGCACCAAAUUCCUUGGUGUUCACCUGGCAGAGAACCUCACCUGGUCCCUCAACACCAGCUCCAUAACCAAGAAAACCCAGCAGCAUCUCUACUUUCUGUGAAGGCUGAGAAAAGCCCACCGCCCAUCCACACCACAUUCUACAGAGGGACUAUUGAGAGCAUCCUGAGCAGCUGCAUCACUGCCUGGUUUGGAAAUUGCACCAUUUCGGAUCGCAAGACCCUGCAGCGGAUAGUGAGGACAGCUGAGAAGAUCACGGGGGUCUCUCUUCAUUCCAUCAUGGACAUUUCCACCACACGCUGCAUCCGCAAAGCCACCAGCAUUGUGGAUGACCCCAUGCACCCCUCACACAAACUCUUCACCCUCCUGCCGUCUGGCAAAAGGUACCGAAGCAUUCGGGUCCUCACGGCCAGGCUGUGUAACAGUUUCUUCCCCCAAGCCAUCAGACUCCUCAAUACUCAGAGACUGGACUGACACACACACACACACACACACACACAAAAAACUUAACACCAUCCGACUCCCUUUGCAAUUUGCAAAUUUAGCAAUUAUUGAACCAUCUUGCACUGUUUGCACACAUGCACUUUAUGUAGUUCUGUGUAGUCUCACGUAGUUCUGUGUUUGUUUUUAUGUUGUUUUAUGUACCAUGGUCCUGGAGGAACGUUGUUUAAUUUCACUGUGUACUCUACCAGAUGUAUAUGGUUGAAAUGACAAUAAAAGCCACUUGACUAGACUCUCUCUCUGCUUCCUCUUUCUGUGGACUGAUGCCCUUGUCGGCCUUUUCAGGUCACCCUCCACCAUCACUAUAACGAGACACAGGUGUUAACGAAAAUGACAGCCCAGGUGACGAGGCGUCCUGCUCUCCAUCCCUGCAGACAGACACAUUUCCACGCCCCCAUCCCGACAUCUAUUCUUGACUCAUAAUUUAACAAAAGAUGCAAAUAAUUGUUUAUCAUAAACAGCAAACAACUUGAGUGUGUAGCACUGUUUUUUCCCCCUCUUAUCUACAAUAUACAGCGCGAAGGCACAGCUCUUGCGAGUGAUCAAAUCGCGCGAAUAUCCUAUUUCAAAUUUAAACAGUUACAAAAAGUCGGUUGAGCUGAAAGCUUGAGGGCGACAUAACCUUGGUAAGAUAAAUUAAUUUGUUGAUUAAUUUUGUUAUUUUUAUUUAUUUUGACCUAAAUCCUUGUUAUUUAUGACUAACACAUUUAUUUCAGCAAGCACAAUGAAUAAACGCUGAUAAAACUGUUUCAUCUAGGCCUGUGAUAUUCUCCGCCAGGAGGUUAGUAAUUUCAAACUUGAAUCACUAAAGUCUCUGUUGUGGAUAGACCUACUAGUCUAUGUUAUAAUUACAUUUUCUUUGAAUGUAGAAAACAUGGGAAAAACUAAACAAUUUGGAGCACAUCACAGCACUGAAUUAAACCAACUGCACUGAUAUAAAUAGAUUAAUCAAGCUCUGUUCAAGAGUGUGAAUAUGUCAAAUGUCCAAAGUCAAAGAGAGGAAUUGAUGGAACGUUUCAGUAUCUCAACUUAAAAGACCUUCACCUAACUCAGAGCACUUCUGAAGUUCUGGACAUCAACAUCAUCAGAGACAUGAGAAGUGGAGGUCAAAGGAGACAUUUGACUUAAAGACAAACAAUGUCAUAAAAGUAGCUCUGGAGUGCAGCAUUACUAGUUUGACCAUCUUCAUACAGAUAAAACACAACACUCCUAUUCAUAUACUUACAGGGAUCAGCACAUCCAUCCUCAACCUGAUCUUUCAUAUGGUGUCAAGACCCCUCAGAGAGUGCAGAGAGUCGGCAUCAAACUGAUGACAUGGAGAUGCCUGAACUGAAGUAAAGUUUUGUUUAAUUUGUCGUAUCCAAAAGACCUUACUCAGUUUGUCAGACCAGUGGCAACAAAAUGAUUCUGUAUCUGCCCCAGUGCUAAAAUUGUUUAACAGCUUUUCAUAGGUCAGUUUUUAUUUAUUUUUCACUUUAUUAAUCUUACUUAUGGUUAUAAUGUUAACGCAUAGUUAAUGUUAAAUGAUUUAAUGUUUAUGAUUUUUAUUUAAAUAAUAUUACUACUGAUUAACUAUUAUUACAAACCUGUGGAUUUAUGAAGUCAGUUCUCAUACCUAUUGCAUUAUGAAUUGUGUUAAUUAUUGCUUGUGGUGUUGUAAAUACAAACUAUUAAAAAUGCUUUACUUAUUUAUACUUAAAUGUCUUUUAUAUGGUUAAUUCACUUAGUGAUAUAUGAACUAUUCAAUUCGCAUAUCCAUUAAACGUUCUUCUGGUAAUAAAACAAAAAAUAAAUGUGAAAAAUAAAACAAUAGCCAAAUGUUAUGGUUGCAUUUUGGGAACCCCUAAAAGAUUCUGUAUAGAACCUUUCAACCUGGCUCAAAGGGGUUCUAUAUAGAACCUUUUAGGGGUUCUAAAUAUGAAGCAAGCGAUAGAACCCUUUAGGGUUCUAUAUGGAAACUUUUCUUCUAAGAGUGUAGGUGGCGAUGCAAAUCGGCAAAAACAAAAGAAGAAUGUGAAAGUGGAGAUUUAUAGGUGAUUACUGUUAUGCUACUUUUAUAUGCUUUUUGGAUCUUCAAAGUUCUGUCCACAAUUCAAUUUCAUUGUAAAGACCUAAAGAAAAUUUUUCUAAAAAUCUUUGUGUUCAGCAGAAGAAAAAGUAAUUCACAUCUGGGAUGGCACGAGGAUGAGUAAAUGAUGAGAGAAAUAUCAUUUUUGGAUGAACUAUCCUUUUAAAUUAGAUUUUGUUUUUUUUUUGUUUUUUUGUGAAUUCUGUUCGCCAAACUAAAAUUCCAGUAUCAACAUAUGCUAGGAUAAUUGAA